GGCGGUUUUUUAAGUUCUGAAGGUUGAAAGCCCCCGGCUCAACUCGGGGAGGGUCAUUGGAAACUUGGGGAACUUGAGUGCAGAAGAGGAGAGUGGAAUUCCACGUGUAGCGGUGAAAUGCGUAGAGAUGUGGAGGAACACCAGUGGCGAAGGCGACUCUCUGGUCUGUAACUGACGCUGAGGAGCGAAAGCGUGGGGAGCGAACAGGAUUAGAUACCCUGGUAGUCCACGCCGUAAACGAUGAGUGCUAAGUGUUAGGGGGUUUCCGCCCCUUAGUGCUGCAGCUAACGCAUUAAGCACUCCGCCUGGGGAGUACGGUCGCAAGACUGAAACUCAAAGGAAUUGACGGGGGCCCGCACAAGCGGUGGAGCAUGUGGUUUAAUUCGAAGCAACGCGAAGAACCUUACCAGGUCUUGACAUCCUCUGACAAUCCUAGAGAUAGGACGUCCCCUUCGGGGGCAGAGUGACAGGUGGUGCAUGGUUGUCGUCAGCUCGUGUCGUGAGAUGUUGGGUUAAGUCCCGCAACGAGCGCAACCCUUGAUCUUAGUUGCCAGCAUUCAGUUGGGCACUCUAAGGUGACUGCCGGUGACAAACCGGAGGAAGGUGGGGAUGACGUCAAAUCAUCAUGCCCCUUAUGACCUGGGCUACACACGUGCUACAAUGGACAGAA
rnacentral:rRNA from 1 species